rnacentral:rRNA from 1 species
CACGUGGGACAUAGCAUGUGGGUAGCACCCCGCUGAGGGAAGCAUUUAAAUAAGCGGAGGAAAAGAACACACCGGGGAGAAGA